CCGUGGGUGCCGUGAGGACACAGGCGUGCACCACACGGCUGCCUGGCUGCCCACGGGUGAGCCUCGUGUUGUCUGGCGUGGACGAGAGGCUGCUGGAGGAGGCGGCCCAGAUAGCACAGCUCCUGCAGCCCACAGAGGACACAUACUGCAGCAUCAGCUUCCCCGGCAGCAGCAUGAAGGCAGAUGUGUGGCGGCGCUGCCUUCACAAGCUGGCCAAUGCCGGCGUCACGGUGCGUGGUGCUGGUGGUGGUGGUAUUGUUAUUCUUGGUGGUAUUGAAGCACCGGACACCAGCCCCAUCACGGAGGAGGAGGAGAGGGAGCUGCACACCCUUGCCACCACCACGAUGUUACAUGCCUUCAAAAGACGGCCUGAAGAGCUCCUGUGGUAAAGGGUUCGUGUAAUCCCCGUGACGGCCAGACUCAUCGGUGCUGGAAGUGCAUCCACUCACGAGGCAAACACCUGGGCUGCAUUUAUCCUACUGCAUUGUGUGUGUACAAGUCUACAGUGUGGCGCUCUCUCUCUCUCUCUCUCUCUCUCUCUCUCUCUCUCUCUCUCUCUCUCUCUCUCUCUGAUGAUUCAAAUUAUAUUCUUAAGUUUGUUAGAAUUCUUAAGUCUCUCUCUCUCUCUCUCUCUCUCUCUCUCUCUCUCUCUCUCUCUCUCUCUCUCUCUCUCUCUCUCUCUCUCUCUCUCUCUCUCUCUCUGAUGAUUCAAAUUAUAUUCUUAAGUUUGUUAGAAUUCUUAAGUCUUGAUUCUCUCUCUCUCUCUCUCUCUCUCUCUCUCUCUCUCUCUCUCUCUCUCUCUCUCUCUCUCUCUCUCUGAUGAUUCAAAUUAUAUUCCUAAGUUUGUUAGAAUUCUUAAGUCUUAAUGUAGUUUCUCUCUCUCUCUCUCUCUCUCUCUCUCUCUCUCUCUCUCUCUCUCUCUCUCUCUGAUGAUUCAAAUUAUAUUCUUAAGUUUGUUAGAAUUCUUAAGUCUUGAUGUAGUCUCUCUCUCCCUCUCUCUUCCUCUCUCUCUCUCUCUCUCUCUCUCUCUCUCUCUCUCUCUCUCUCUCUCUCUCUCUCUCUCUCUGAUUCAAAUUAUAUUCUUAAGUUUGUUAGAAUUCUUAAGUCUUGAUGUAGUUUCUCUCUCUCUCUCUCUCUCUCUCUCUCUCUCUCUCUCUCUCUCUCUCUCUCUCUCUCUCUCUCUCUCUCUCUCUCUGAUGAUUCAAAUUAUAUUCUUAAGUUUGUUAGAAUUCUUAAGUCUUGAUGUCUCUCUCUCUCUCUCUCUCUCUCUCUCUCUCUCUCUCUCUCUCUCUCUCUCUCUCUCUCUCUCUGAUGAUUCAAAUUAUAUUCUUAAGUUUGUUAGAAUUCUUAAGUCUUGAUGUAGUCUCUCUCUCUCUCUCUCUCUCUCUCUCUCUCUCUCUCUCUCUCUCUGAUGAUUCAAAUUAUAUUCUUAAGUUUGUUAGAAUUCCUAAGUCUUGAUCUCUCUCUCUCUCUCUCUCUCUCUCUCUCUCUCUCUCUCUCUCUCUCUCUGAUGAUUAAAAUUAUAUUCUUAAGUUUGUUAGAAUUCUUAAGUCGAUGUCUCUCUCUCUCUCUCUCUCUCUCUCUCUCUCUCUCUCUCUCUCUCUCUCUCUCUCUCUCUCUCUGAUGAUUCAAAUUAUAUUCUUAAGUUUGUUAGAAUUCUUAAGUCUUGAUCUCUCUCUCUCUCUCUCUCUCUCUCUCUCUCUCUCUCUCUCUCUCUCUCUCUCUCUCUCUCUCUCUGAUGAUUAAAAUUAUAUUCCUAAGUUUGUUAGAAUUAAGUCUCUCUCUCUCUCUCUCUCUCUCUCUCUCUCUCUCUCUCUCUCUCUCUCUCUCUCUCUCUCUCUCUCUCUCUCUCUCUCUCUCUCUCUGUCCCUCUCUCUCUCUCGCUGUGUGUGUGUGUGUGUGUGUCCGUGGUGGUGGGUGAAGUUUGAAGUUGUGUUGGUAAGGUGGUGGCGAGUGUGAGUGUGAAGUGUCGGUGUGCAGUGUGUGUGAGAGCCAAGUGUCAGUUAGGAUCACGUUAGUACAAGGUGGGCCCAAGCAAAGUUGUGGUGCAGUUUGCAAUGAUUGUUGAUGGUGCACGUGCAGUUUUCCUCGUGGCAAAGUUCACGCCAGAAGUGAGAGAGUCAAGUCACCACAAGACAAGGCUCAGUGUUCUGUCGUGAAGUCUGCGGUGACUGCUGCUAUCACUUCCCACCUGCAGUAUAUACCUUUUAGCAAAGUUUACUUACAAGUUGUGAGUCACCACAAGCCCGGGACUCAACACUCUAUUCUUUAGUGCCUGAUGAUUCUUAAUUGUUCAUCUGCAGUUUGUGUUGCAGCAACGGUUGCGCCAAAACUAUGUUAGUGCGCGCCGAGGAUGCAAGAUGACUGAUUGUCAGUGUUGCGUGCGGUGCGUGUGUUUAGGCCAAGUGUAAGUGACGGCUGAGUUAGUGCAAGAUAAGGCUGAGUAGUGUUCUGUUCUGAAGUGUGAGGCGGUUCUUGGGGUCACUUCCCACCUGCAGUAUGUCUUGUGGCAAAGUUGAAGCUGAGAAUUAAGUUAGUACAAGCGGAGGAUUCAAGUGAUUUGGUUCACCUCACGGUGAUUCUUAAUGUUUGUUGCACCUGCUGUUUGUCUUUAGGCUAAGUUAAGUUACAACUAAGCUGAGUUACAACCACAAGCUGAGGGUGAAGGCUGCUGCUGCUGCUGCUGCUGCUGCUGCUGCUGCUGCAUGCAGUCUUCACCUCAACUUGGUCAGGUUGAUGCUUUCUUCAUUUCUGUGUUGAGUUACAAGUUUACUACAAGUGGUGGCAGGUUUGUCACGUUCUCGUAAGUGGAUGCACGGGUGUGAGUGUGGCGGUGGUGGUGGUGGUGGUGGUGAGAGCCGUGCAUUCCCCAGGGAAGGGGAACGCCCGCCACGUGCAAGUGUGGCGAGGAGCUUCACCACAAACACUGUAUUCUCUGUACCACACAUGGCUGAUUCCCUCAUUAAAAGCUGUAGUACAA